rnacentral:rRNA from 1 species
UACGGAGGGUGCAAGCGUUGUUCGGAUUUACUGGGCGUAAAGCGCGCGCAGGUGGGUGAACAAGUCGGAAGUGAAAUCUUGAGGCUCAACCUCGAGGCUGCUCCCGAAACUGUUCGCCUAGGGACUGGUAGAGGCUGGUAGAAUUCCAGGUGUAGCGGUGAAAUGCGUAGAUAUCUGGAGGAACACCGGUGGCGAAGGCGGCAUCCUGGACCGGCAUUGACGCUGAGGCGCGAAAGCCAGGGGAGCAAACGGG